AUCCAGGAAAGACAGGAAGGAAGGAAAGAAGGAAGAAAGAGAAAGGGAGGUAAAGAAAAGGGGGAAGGAAGGAAAGUUAGAGAAAGAAGGAAGAAGAAAAGGAAAGAAAAGGAAAGAUGGAAGGAAAGAAAAGAGAGACAGCAGAAGAGAAAGAAAAAGGGGGAAGGAAGGAAAGAGAGAAGGAAAGAAAAAAGGGAAUGAAGGAAGGAAAGAAGGAGUGAAGGAAGGGCGAAGAUGUAGAGAAAGAGAGAGGGAAGGAAAGAAGGAAAGAGAGAAGGAAGAAAAGAGACCAGAAGAGAAAGAAAAAGGGGGAAGGAAGGAAGGAGAGAAGAAAAAAGGGAAUGAAGGAAGGAAAGAGGGAGUGAAGGAAGGGGGAAGAUGUAGAGAAAGAGGGA